rnacentral:tRNA from 1 species
GGUACCGUGGUGAAGUUGGUUAACACAGGGGUCUGCAAAACCUCCAUUCGUGGGUUCGAAUCCCACCGGUACCUCCA